rnacentral:rRNA from 1 species
AGAGUUUGAUCAUGGCUCAGGAUGAACGCUAGCGGCAGGCCUAACACAUGCAAGUCGAGGGGCAGCACGAUAAAGCUUGCUUUAUUGGUGGCGACCGGCGCACGGGUGCGUAACGCGUAUGCAACCUACCCUGUACUGGGGGAUAACCCGGAGAAAUUCGGACUAACACCCCAUAGUAAUAUACUUUCGCAUGUUAGUAUAUUUAAAGGUUACGGUACAGGAUGGGCAUGCGUCCUAUUAGCUAGAUGGUGAGGUAACGGCUCACCAUGGCGAUGAUAGGUAGGGGGCCUGAGAGGGUGGUCCCCCACACUGGUACUGAGACACGGACCAGACUCCUACGGGAGGCAGCAGUGAGGAAUAUUGGUCAAUGGGCGCAAGCCUGAACCAGCCAUGCCGCGUGCAGGAAGAAUGCCCUAUGGGUUGUAAACUGCUUUUAUUUGGGAAUAAACCUCUUUACGUGUAGAGAGCUGAAGGUACCAAAUGAAUAAGCACCGGCUAACUCCGUG